ACGUUUGCAGGCGCAUCAUCAUCAAGAUUCACAUUGAUUGGGUUUGACUUAUUACCAUAAUCGAUCUGAUUUCAGAUAUAUGAGAAUCUUGAUGAUGCUGCAUCGGCAAUAGA
rnacentral:pre_miRNA from 1 species